rnacentral:misc_RNA from 1 species
UUGAAAUAUUUUUUACUCCUUUAGGCUUUAGUGUUAAAAUUUACCGUUUAAUUUAUAAUAAUUUAUUAUAUAUCCAAGUACUUCACAUUUCCCAAUCAACGGCCAAACAUUUUCUUUACUUGUAGAAAAUUCAUGAUAUGGCUAUCUACGGGUUUUUCAUCAAAUAAGGAAUUGCUUGUUUUUCUCAUCAUCUGCAGUGAAUAUAACAAUGUAAAUACAUGGCAUCUAUUAACUGGCUGUCCAUGUAAGUGCCGAUGUGUUUAAUUAACUGACGUAAUCGCCUAUGACAACAUCAGCGCAGAUUUAAUGUGACUAGUUUUCAUUAUAAUUAACGGACAAUAUUUGAGAUCACUAUCGGCACUUACAAUUUCCUCUAAAACUUUUUGUGCUCAAAAUGGAUUAAUGUAUCGUGUAUACUGUAAAUCGCUGAUGUAAUCGACAAAAUGAAUGAUCCGUGGGAUGUUAAGUGCGUGCGACAAUCCGGUCACUAUACCUCUUGUAUGAAAUUAAAUGGGGUACCACUUCUUCCGCCUGUCUUAUCUAGAGAAUGUCGCAAAGAAAUGCAGUACUACAAGUUGUUAGCGCAAGAAGUAGAAAAAAGGAUAAAUACAUUAAAAAUAUUUAUGGUGGAGAGUGAUACUGAGUCGAUUGACGAUAAGACUGAUGCACCUGACCUGCCCGACUCAGAGCACAACGACAACAUGUCUCCAACAGAUAUGGCUGCAUACACUGCCAAUGUCACCCCUACAAAUAUUAAAAAAGAAGUUACAUCCAUAAAUAACACUCCUGAUCUUGAUUCUCCAAAUACCUGUGAUGUUGAUAGUAUUUCCAAAACACCAUCGAAAUUUAUAAUAGACUUAAGCAUUAGUCUGAAUGAUGACAGCAAAACAGUUACCACAAAUACCCCAAAUCCAGCUGUAGAAGUGCCGGAGCGGGAUUGGGAAUGUACAAAACCAAAUAAAGAUGUUCCCGCUGAUAUUAGCCAAAAGGAAAAUUUGAGAAGUGUUGAUGAUAAAUUGUUUUUCAGUAUCAGUCUAAACAAUGAUGUCUUAUCAGACCCUCUAUCCAUAACAUUUGAUCAAGACGGUCCCCCAUCUCUUAGUUCCAAGAGCUUCACGGGUUCCCUUAAUAAUAUUCACACAGACAGUGUUAGAGACUCGAAAGUGAUACCUCUGUCUCGCCAAAGAUCUUACACAGUUCUAAAACCAAGCCCGUUACUACUUGCUCAUCUUGAGGUACAAUCUAUCAAUACUGGUGUUGAAAUAAAUUCCAUAUCGAUGAGUGAAUCAAUGUCGAAUCUCAGCUCUCCAAGUAAAAAGCGAAGAAGUUGGGAUUUAGAAACUGCGAAAGUGAAAUGGUCGUCCAUGGCUUUGGAGUUGAAGCAAAACAGUUUAAAGAAAACGACGAAAGAUAAAAAUGGCGUCACGAAAUCCGCAACGAAAAAGGUGACGCAAUCGGCGCCGGCAAGAGCGAGAUCGCUGGUUCAAGAAAGAAAUAAACGAGUUACUAAUGUCUAUAAACCAUCUAACAAAUCUGAGCCUAUUCAAAAAAUUAAGAGAAACCCAAGCCCUGUCAGAAAUUCAUCAGCAAAUCCGCCCGUGUCGAUAACAAAUUCCGCUAAAACUUCACAAAUUCCAAACGGAGUAGAUAAGAAGGCUACACCUAAACAACUGAUAUCCGAAUCAGAAGAUCCAGCGGCGCGCGUACGAGAGCUUUACGAAAAAAUCCAAAAACAACAACUCAUUCAAAUGGCCAGCUUAGUUGAGAAACAGAAAAAAGAACAGAUGCUGCUACAACAAGUAUUUGAAGAACAGAAUAAUUUGCUGUACUCCCAGUUGAAAACUAUUUGCCCAAAACCGCCAAAUGACGUGAAAGAAGCGUGGGGUGGUAAAGAUACAGAUAGAGGUCCAGUUAGUUUGAGCCAGUUGAUAAAUUCAGAGCCAGCUGAUAGCCCUGUUGUUGCUACGCUCACCGAAACGAACAAUUACAUAAACCACUGUGAUAAUGUUUUAAAAAAAUCCAGGGAUAUAACUGAGAGUAUAAAGAAAGCGACCAAGUGUCCAUCUAAAGAAAAGAGUCCACCGAAAAGCCAAUCUAACGGUAACUGUGCAAAGAGUCAUUCACCAGGACGUAGGAGCACUUCGCGAAAGCUUACCUACGAAAACAGUGCUUCGACUGACCGAGACUACGACCUUAUACUGACCGAUCGAACGAACGACACUAUGGCCGAUCUUAACGUGACCUUCCCAUCAGAUGAAGAAUGUCAACUCUAUAAUAUAGAUCCAUGUACCAAUGAGAUCUGCAAUGCAGUUCCCCAGCUUGUAGCGCCGUGCAAGUCCACAGAUAGAGCCAUUAAAAGCAUGGAGGAAACUAUUCAAAAUUCCAUAAAGAGUAUGUGUGGCAGAAAGCCGCGAAGUAUUUGUCGGCAGGCCACACCGCAAGAGGUAAUCUAGUGGAAUAACAUUCUAUAUAUUAGUAAUUUUGUUUUUUAUAAUGACUAGAAUCAUUUAAUUUCAAUAGUGUAGACUAGUACCAUAGACUAGAUCAAUACAUACAAUAUCUGCUUAUUCUACAUUCGAUACCUGUUUUUCUAUUGGUCAUUGAGUUCUUAUUGCUGUAAUAUGGAAUUUGUAUGGUAAUUUAGACCAUUUCCUACCUUACUGCUUUCCUUUUUUCGCGUCCUGUUUAUUCCUAUUCUGGGUUAUCUUUUCGAUUAUAUCUUAGUCUUAUAACAUCACUUUUAUGUAUG